AUAUUCAUUAAAAAGGCAAAAAAAAAAAAUAUUAAAGCAACGAAAUCUACGAAAGCAACUACAAAAGAAACUUAACAAUGCCGCCAAGAGCUUAAAAAGCAAAAAACAAGUUUAAUGCUGGAAUAGCAGAUUAGAGAUUACCUUCGGCAAUUGAACGUUUAAACGAUGAAAGCUUUUAGAUGAGCGAAUUAUAGCUUCAGAUAAUUAAAUUAGAUAAAGUUCCGCAUCGCGGUAUCCUCGCAGGGCCAACUGUCUGAAAGCAUCGAUUACGCUUGACGCGUAUGCAAGCGUUGCAUCUCUUACCCGACUUCCACCAAGUUUAUCCUUUAAACGCGAUUUAAUUCAAGUUUAUUGACUCUGACAGUUUAUCCGAGAUAAAUAAUAUCCAAUCCGAUAAAUAGGUUGCUAAAGGCAUCAUUAUACUUUCUCAAAUUAUGAUAUAAUCUUUACGCUAAUCUUCGUUAAUUUAUAAAAUAUAAAUAUGUAAUCAUCUAGAGACAUUUGUAUCAAGAAUUUUUUUGAUAAUUUAAAAGUAUGAUAUGCUUGAUUAUUAUAUGCUUCGAUGUUGAUAACGAAAACGAUUUUGCUCAUAAUUUUGUUUAAUCGUGGCAAUGACAGGCAAUUAACAUGUUUCGCGGCGGAACUUUUGAACCCUGAUCAAACGACGUUCGUUCCUCUUGUUGAAACAAGACAUGGGAGAGCAAUUAGGAGCACCGAUUAUGACGUCGUCUCGACGUGGAAAACUGUCAGCAAACUUUGGCGGUGUCGUCGCCAUCAACCAAACGUUUUGGAAAGUUUUGAGCGGUUAACAAUUCCGACUAUAUCGCACUUCAUGGAUCUUAAAAAUCAAGAAAAAGAGACGGAAAGAGAAAGAGAGUGGAAGAGAGAAAAAGAGAAAAUUAUUAUAGAAUAAGGCUAUUUCAAAAGUUCGACAAAAUCUUUAGUUUAAUUAAUUUCUAUAAUUUUAAAAGUUGGCUAAUCUAUUUGACAGACGUAAACAAGUUCAGGUAAUUUUUUAGCAUAAAGCGUAAAAAUUAAUUAGCGAAUUUUUAAAUAAUAACAAUCGUAAGUUCGUACACCAUAUCCAAAAGAAUCGUUUAUAUAUACCUUUUUCCGUUUUAUAGAAUUGUAAAUAAUUAUAAAAUAUUUAUUUAAUUUCUGUUUAAAGUAUUUUGGAGUAACGUAAAAAAUUUAUUCCCGUAUACGAAAAACAUUGUUAUAAUUGUUGCAACAAUAUCUUUUAUAUUUAAAAAAGAACUGUAUGUAAAUUCAAUUCAAUUCAUAUAUUGGUAUAUGUUGUAUUGAAUGCAACUGUUAGGAUGUUCGUUUGUACGUAUGGUCUAUACCUCACUAUAUUCUUAUAAUAAGUAAUAUGUGAUUAGUAUACAUAUAUGGUUAACCCAACUAAAAGAUUAUUUGUUAUUUAGUUAAGACAAAAUUUUAAGACAAGACAAAAUCAGCAAAAUCGAAUGCGACCUAACGGAAUAUUUAGUACUUUUUUUGUACUACCAAAAUUAAUUUUCCUGAAUUUCCUGCCAGCUUCAUAGAGUUUUCUUAUUUCUGUGAUCUGCAGAACAACUAGUAUAACUAAGAGAUCUUUAAAAUAUAAUUGUACAGCACAGCACUCAAAAUUGAGUUUUAUUGCAGUAUUAGAAUAAAAAACGAUAAUAUUAUAAUCGGCUCACAAUAAAUUUUUAUAUAAAA
rnacentral:lncRNA from 1 species